UACGUAGGCGGAACAUUAAGUCAGUGGUGAAAUCCUGCGGCUCAACCGUAGAACUGCCAUUGAUACUGAUAUUCUUGAAUGUAGUUGAGGUAGGCGGAAUGUGUAAUGUAGCGGUGAAAUGCUUAGAUAUUACACAGAACACCGAUUGCGAAGGCAGCUUACUAAACUAUGAUUGACGCUGAUGUACGAAAGCGUGGGGAGCGAACAGGAUUAGAUACCCUGGUAGUCC
rnacentral:rRNA from 1 species